rnacentral:rRNA from 1 species
UGCGUAGGCGGUUAUUUAAGUAGGGUGUGAAAUGCCCCGGCUCAACCGGGGAACUGCGCUCUAAACUUGGGUAACUUGAGUGAGAUAGAGGUGUGCGGAACUUCCGGUGGAGCGGUGAAAUGUGUUGAUAUCGGAGGGAACACCAUUGGCGAAAGCGGCACACUGGGUCUCAACUGACGCUGAGGCACGAAAGCCAGGGGAGCAAACG